rnacentral:rRNA from 1 species
GGAUAGAUUAUAGAUGCUGGAAUGCCCUGUAAUCCAAAGCUAUUGUGCCUAAGGAUGGGUCUGCGGUCUAUCAGGUUGUAGUGGGUGUAAUGUACCUACUAGCCUACGACGGAUACGGGUUGUGGGAGCAAGAGCCCGGAGAUGGAUUCUGAGACAUGAAUCCAGGCCCUACGGGGCGCAGCAGGCGCGAAAACUUUACAAUGCGGGAAACCGCGAUAAGGGGACACCGAGUGCCAGCAUCCUAUGUUGGCUGUCCAUAUGUAUAAAUCACAUGUGUUAGCAAGGGCCGGGCAAGACCGGUGCCAGCCGCCGCGGUAACACCGGCGGCCCGAGUGGUGGCCACUAUUAUUGGGUCUAAAGGGUCCGUAGCCGGUUUGGUCAGUCUUCCGGGAAAUCUGACGGCUCAACCGUUAGGCUUUCGGGGGAUACUACCAGGCUUGGGACCGGGAGAGGUAAGAGGUACUACGGGGGUAGGAGUGAAAUCUUGUAAUCCCUGUGGGACCACCAGUGGCGAAGGCGUCUUACCAGAACGGGUCCGACGGUGAGGGACGAAAGCUGGGGGCACGAACCGGAUUAGAUACCCGGGUAGUCCCAGCUGUAAACUAUGCUCGCUAGGUGUCAGGGACGGUGCGACCGUUUCUGGUGCCGCAGGGAAGCCGUGAAGCGAGCCACCUGGGAAGUACGGUCGCAAGGCUGAAACUUAAAGGAAUUGGCGGGGGAGCACUACAACGGGUGGAGCCUGCGGUUUAAUUGGAUUCAACGCCGGGAAGGGC